rnacentral:rRNA from 1 species
UACAGAGACCGCAAGCGUUAUUCGGAUUCACUGGGCGUAAAGGGUGCGCAGGCGGCCAAGUGUGUUAGGCGUGAAAGCCUGGGGCUUAACCCCAGAAUUGCACCUAAAACUACAUGGCUAGAGCAUUGGAGAGGGUAGCGGAAUUCACGGUGUAGCAGUGAAAUGCGUAGAUAUCGUGAGGAACACCAGAGGCGAAGGCGGCUACCUGGACAAUUGCUGACGCUCAGGCACGAAAGCGUGGGGAGCAAAAGGG